rnacentral:rRNA from 1 species
UUUUGUAGAAUGAACCGGCGAGUUACGAUUUGAUGCAAGGUUAAGCAGUAAAUGUGGAGCCGUAGCGAAAGCGAGUCUGAAUAGGGCGUUUAGUAUUUGGUCGUAGACCCGAAACCAGGUGAUCUACCCUUGGUCAGGUUGAAGUUCAGGUAACACUGAAUGGAGGACCGAACCGACUUACGUUGAAAAGUGAGCGGAUGAACUGAGGGUAGCGGAGAAAUUCCAAUCGAACCUGGAGAUAGCUGGUUCUCUCCGAAAUAGCUUUAGGGCUAGCCUCAAGUGAUGAUUAUUGGAGGUAGAGCACUGUUUGGACGAGGGGCCCCUCUCGGGUUACCGAAUUCAGACAAACUCCGAAUGCCAAUUAAUUUAACUUGGGAGUCAGAACAUGGGUGAUAAGGUCCGUGUUCGAAAGGGAAACAGCCCAGACCACCAGCUAAGGUCCCAAAAUAUAUGUUAAGUGGAAAAGGAUGUGGCGUUGCCCAGACAACUAGGAUGUUGGCUUAGAAGCAGCCAUCAUUUAAAGAGUGCGUAAUAGCUCACUAGUCGAGUGACACUGCGCCGAAAAUGUACCGGGGCUAAACAUAUUACCGAAGCUGUGGAUUGUCCUUUGGACAAUGGUAGGAGAGCGUUCUAAGGGCGUUGAAGCAUGAUCGUAAGGACAUGUGGAGCGCUUAGAAGUGAGAAUGCCGGUGUGAGUAGCGAAAGACGGGUGAGAAUCCCGUCCACCGAUUGACUAAGGUUUCCAGAGGAAGGCUCGUCCGCUCUGGGUUAGUCGGGUCCUAAGCUGAGGCCGACAGGCGUAGGCGAUGGAUAACAGGUUGAUAUUCCUGUACCACCUAUAAUCGUUUUAAUCGAUGGGGGGACGCAGUAGGAUAGGCGAAGCGUGCGAUUGGA